UUCUGAGCGAUACACCUGAACAUAGCGAGGUAGGGCCAUUUAGAGAGACAUGGGAACUGCAGCUCUGCUCCAGCUGCAGCCUCACCAGUGCUGAAUUACCACCUCCCUAUGGCCACGCUGCCCCUAAGGUUGCCUGCCAUGUGGUCUGUGUGGUUUGCAAUGAGAGCACGCUGCUAACUCCUUCGUUUGGCAUCACUGUGACCCCCAGGUCCUGUUCAGCUGGGCAGCUGCUCGGCCAGCCUGCCCCAAACCUGUGCUGAUGCCUGCUGCAAUUCCUUCCAAGGAGCUUUGCACUCCCCUCCCUGCACUUUGGGAGGUCAAGUUUCUUGGGGUUGUUCUCAAUUCCCACAUUUGCUGAGUGCAUGCUCUGUCUCAUGUCACGUUUAAAAGGGUUUUUAUCACUCCUUGAAGUGCCGCGUUCAGGCUGGCUCUAUCUUGAAGGCUCGCAGGAGAUUUCAGCAGAGCCACGGUACCUGUAGCCAGGGGGCAGGGCACCACACUUCAGCGAGGGCUUUAUGAGUUAAAAUAAGAAGGUGUUAGCAAAAACAAAUGCAAAGCUGAAGCGGCCUGGCUGGAGAAGGAACCAGGAGCAUUUAGUUCCUCCACCAAAGCCACCGCCUGGGCAAUUCCCUGGUGCUGGGGUGGUCCUGGCCAGGAGCCGCCCCUGCCCUCCUCCUGCAAGCAGGAGGGCUUCAGGCACCCUUCAUUAGCCACAGAAGAGCAAAGGCAAGUGUCCAGUUUAACUCCCCUGGGAAAAAUCACCUCUACCUUCUAAAUUAAUCCAGCCAAAAGAGCAUUCCCUCCUCUCCAGCCCUUCAAAUCCCUCCCUUCCAGGAGAGAGAGCUUGGAGGCUGUUUCUUCUUUGGUUAGAACAUUCUCUGUGGUUCAUUCUCUUGGAGAAAUCAAAACUUUGAAAGCCUCUGGCUGCCGCCACCUUUUCAUUAGUGCUUCCUGAUAUGUUUCACAGCACCCUCUCUGCCUGUUUCCCAGUGACUGAGUUCCCCUUUGCAGUAAAGCCUUCUCUUUCCCUACCGCAGCGCAGCUGAGAAGCACGGCCUUUGUCAGUACAUCUCUGCAGGGAAAACAAAUUACUGUAAUGGCCCGUUUCUUCUGAAAGCCUGCGAGAUGAACUUUGCAGGUCGGCUGUUCCAGAAGAGCAACAAACACGUGCUGACCUUUGCUCGUCUUUCAAGGAAUGAGGCUGAACCAAGAGCAGAUAAGGAGUAUUUAUUCGCAGUGGGCAAACAGCAGAGGGCUGAAAUGAAGGAUUUUCUCCAGUGACAGCGCUCCCUGAUUGUCAAGCUGCACCUCGGAGUUUCCAGUGAGCGUACCCGAGCUACAAGGCAAACAAAUCGAGAGCCCUCGAGGUGCAUUUACCCUCCUGCUGCUCCCGCCACCACGCUGGUGCAGGCUGGUGGCACAGAGAUGGGCACAGCCACCUGCACACCGGGCCAGGACCUCAGGGUGCACCGAGCACUGCUGGGAUGGGAUUUUUCAGCAAGCUUGUCCUCAGGCUCAUUGCAGCUCUCUCCCCUCCCUUCUUAUAUUGGGAGUUAAGUGGUUAUAGCGCUUUGGUGAAGUUGCCUCCUAGACUUUUGCCACGCAGUAUGUAGCCUUCCUGAGCAAUAAAGGAAAUGCUGAGAAGAAAUCCUAAAGGAGAUGUUGCCUUUCUUUCCCCACAGGGUGCUCCCCCACCCCUUAUCUCCAGACACGUGCUCUGCCCCAGCUGCUCUGUAAGCUUGUCCUGGCUUCCAGCGCUCCCCGCAUGAACCGCAAAUGGGUGCUUUUUGUGCCGAUUAAAAUCACGCUGUGUGAAAGCAAACACAGAUUAGCUGUGGCCUUUGGGCCCCUGACACGUCUCCAGAGUCGCCGCCGGUGCCACAGCACUCGUGCAACCCCGCGUCCUCUGUGCGGUGACAUCCCUGCGCCGGCACUAUGCGGGGCUGCUCCGAGCUCAGCCGCUAAUGCUUCCACCAGCUUUUACCACCAAAGUGGGAAGAGAGCUUUUCAGCAGCCGGAUGAACAGCAGGGACUUGCUUGUUCUCACUAGGGUACAAUGUCAGAUGUGGGAAGGGGAAGGAGGGGGAGGAUUUCCUGGGUAAUUCCCCAAAUCUUGAUGUGUGUGCAAAUGCCUCCUGUUCCGCUGCGUGCCACCCCUGUGAGCCCAGAGCAGGGACAGACCGUGUUCCUGUUCAGGAUUACCUCCCGCAGGAAAAGAGCCCGUUAACUUCUCACAGACCAAGCCUUAAGUUUGCCACUUCUUUUAUGCGGAGAAGCACAGGACGCUUUCCUGCCUUCUUGGACUCGGGUGGCAUACAGCGUGUCGCACCGUUUCAACGCCCCUCACAUAAGCUCUGCGGUGUGUUUACCGUAAGCAGCGGCGUUUAGUUUCAACAGAAACCUUUAAGUCUCUGCAACUUCCUCCGAGGAUGCUAAACUGAGCGGGUGGUGAAUGGGUUGCAAACGCUGCCGACGGUUUUGAAGCGGCGCGUGGGCGCCGCGGGGGCGAAUGUUCCCUGCGCCGGGUGUUUUCUAAAGGUCUCCGACGCACGAGGCAUGACUGAAUGACUUGUGCUUUCUUUGCGUGGUGAGGGGGUGAAUCUUGAAUCGCUGGGCUGCUUUUAUUUUUGUUAGACGUGUGUGGGCUGACAACAUGACUCAGUAUUUUCUCUGCAGAUGCAAAGAUCAUACUGCCAAUUCUGGGUAGACGCUGGGCAGUUUCAUGCGGAGAACUGGAACGCUUUUUAUUCCAGAGCUUUGCUUUUUGGCAGCCCAAAGCCUCUUGAUGUGGAAAUAAAUAAAUAAAUAAAUAAA